GAUCAAUGGCUCAGGAUGAACGCUAGCGACAGGCCUAACACAUGCAAGUCGAGGGGCAGCGGGGAGGUAGCAAUACCUUUGCCGGCGACCGGCGCACGGGUGAGUAACACGUAUGCAAUCCACCUGUAACAGGGGGAUAACCCGGAGAAAUCCGGACUAAUACCCCAUAAUAUGGGCGCUCCGCAUGGAGAGUUCAUUAAAGAGAGCAAUUUUGGUUACAGACGAGCAUGCGCUCCAUUAG
rnacentral:rRNA from 1 species